rnacentral:rRNA from 1 species
ACAAGGAGUGGAGCCUGCGGCUUAAUUCGACUCAACACGGGAAACCUCACCAGGCCCGGACACUGGUAGGAUUGACAGAUCUUUCCCCAUGAAGCUCUUUCUCGAUUCAGUGGGUGGUGGUGCAUGGCCGUUCGUGGUUGGUGGAGCGAUCUGUCUGGUUCAUUCCGAUAACGAACGAGACUCCGGCCUACUAACUAGGAGACGACUCCGCGCUCGUUUGCGGCGUCCGUCUGUGCUUCUUAGAGGGACGGGCGGCGGUUGAUAAGCCGCACGAAGCCGGAGCAAUAACAGGUCUGUGAUGCCCUUCGAUGCCCUGGGCCGCACGCGCGCUACACUGAAGGAGGCAACGCGCUCCCUCCCUCGUGGAGGGCAAGCCCGUUCGUCGGUGCGUUCCCGGUCCGAAAGGAUCGGGCAACCGCUGAAUCUCCUGUGGCUCUCGUUGGCUUUUCGUGGUAGGAAUUGGGGCUUGAAAUUGUGCCCCAUGAACCAGGAAUUCCCAGUAAGCGCGAGUCAGCAGCU